AGAGCCACUGGAGGCAUCAGGGAGUUGACCCAUUUCUGAGCCUGCUCCUUUAUCCACCAAUCAAUACAAUCUGGGGCUGGAAUGUAUGCUGCCAUCUGGUAGCUUCUGCUUGCAGCUCUCUUGCAUGCUGAAGUACUGAUCCACUGCACACAGCACAUCUGACUUGCAUUUUUAAAAACAAAGCUACUUAUUUAUAAUCUCAUCACAUAACAAUGUGUUAAACAGUAUUGAAAAUGUAAACUGAGGUAAAUUAAGGAAAAUAUUGCAGAACUAAAGCCAGAUUAUAUUUGUUCAUGCUUCAUGGGAGUCCAUCAAAUUAAUUAUUCUCUAUUCUCUAAUUGAAGUUGACUGUCUUAUACUAAUUUCUUUGGAAAUCAGAAACCAACCCACAAAUAAAAACUGAGUUGCAGACAUAAAUCAACAAUGAAUAAUGCCAUUUACCUAGCAGCAGCAGUUUUUAUUGGACAUGUCAUGGUAUUACAGUUUAACAGAAGACAUCAUUCACAUAUACAAGCAUUUACAUACUUGAUACAGGUCAUAGUUUGGGAAGGAUGGGAUAGAUACUUGGCCAUGACAUUAUAGUAGGAAUUAUUCCAGAAUGUGCCUGGGGUAACACAGGUAAACCACAGAAAACCUAAAUCAAUAAAUUUAGAGUUAAUUAAUUUUAUGAUUAGCAGGAUGGGGCAUAACAACAUUGACUAGGUUUUGCACAUGUGUGUGUAUCACAAAUGGAACAGCCCUGUACUGUGGUUACUUGAGAUAAUCAGUUUGUGCAGGAGGCAAUCUAUAAAUCUUAUGAAUCUUCUAAUGAAAACUUUUAUUCAUUUGCCGAGAUUGCUACAUUAACACAUUAGUGGACUACUAGUUUCGGCAAUAUAAACGGCCAUCUUCAGAUCUAUAAAAGAAAAUAUGCCAAGGCUACAAGCUUAAACCAAUAUUAAAACACAAUAGAGCAUACACCAAAACUCAAUGACAAAAAAUUAUGUACCCAUAAAGCCAGGCAGUGGUAAUUACAUCACACAAUAAUUUAAAUCACUCCAUUAGAAGAAGAACACACACUGUGCUGUAAGAUAAUAAUCCCAUAAAAUUCUGUUCAUAUGGACCUCAGUUACUCUGUUAUAGUCAACAUAGCAUCAAACCCAUGAAACGACAUUAUAUGCCAUGUAUCUAUUUUGUUCAUGUUCUACAAAUUCGAAGUUGUACAUACAUUAUGGUUGCACAUCUGGCAUAUUGCUGUAAUGUUUUUACUUUAUAAUGGUAUGUUUUUAUUUAAUUUUACUUAUUAGGUGUAUUUAUUGUUGUAUUUUGAACUUGGGAUUAAAUCUGUGCAUAUGAACAGAAUUUUAUGAGACUUAUUAUUUGACAGCACAUUGUAUGUUCUUCUUGUGAUGAUGUGGUUUAAAUCAUUUUACAAUGUAACUUGCACUGGGCAGUUUUAUGGGUAAGUAAUUUUCUCACUUUGAGUUUUCGUGAAUGCCCUACUGUGCUUUUUAUAUUGCUUCAAGUCUGUAACCAGACCAUAUUUUCUUUUAUAGACUUGAAAUGGCAAUUUAUAUUGCCAAAGCUUGCAAUCCACUAAUGUGUUAACAUAGUGAUCUUAUAAAUAAAUAAAAGUGAUCAUACGAAAACUGCAUUAUGAAAGAGCCUUAGUUUAAAACGGUGAGGUUUUAACACCUGCACACUGUAAAUUUACUGAUCCAAUUAUUCUUCUUUAAUUUGUAGAUUAUAUCUUGUUCAGUAACAAAAUCUACCAACAGAUGAUACACAUACACAGCUGGUCUGACAACACUUUCCCACACAUGCAACACAUCAUUUGGCACCCUUUGCCUUCGCCUAUCACUUUUCCAAGCAUGUUAAGUAUCAUUUGCCACCCCUCUCUUCCCUCACACAUUAGGUACCAUUUAGGUACCAUUCCUUGAGCUCUUGGUAAGAUCUUUAAAAAAUCUAAUCUAUUGUGUUCGGAAAUUGACUGUUUUCACUACUAAUUACAGUAAACCCUGUGCAUAAGUUUUGUACUAGAGGUAAUACAGGUGCUCCUCUCAGCUUGGUGCCCU